CUACGGAGGAUCCGAGCGUUAUCCGGAUUUAUUGGGUUUAAAGGGUGCGCAGGCGGGAGAUUAAGUCGGCGGUGAAAUUUUGCAGCUCAACUGUAAAAGUGCCUUCGAAACUGGUUUCCUUGAGUGUAGAUGAAGUAGGCGGAAUUUGUGGUGUAGCGGUGAAAUGCAUAGAUAUCACGAGGAACUCCGAUUGCGCAGGCAGCUUACUAAACUACUACUGACGCUCAGGCACGAAGGCGUGGGGAUCAAACAGGAUUAGAUACCCUGGUAGUCCACGCAGUAAACGAUGAUUACUAGCUGUUUGCGAUACAAUGUAAGCGGCUGAGCGAAAGCGUUAAGUAAUCCACCUGGGGAGUACGUUCGCAAGAAUGAAACUCAAAUGAAUUGGCGGGG
rnacentral:rRNA from 1 species